rnacentral:rRNA from 1 species
CCUACGGGAGGCAGCAGUGGGGAAUAUUGGGCAAUGGGCGCAAGCCUGACCCAGCAACGCCGCGUGAAGGAAGAAGGCUUUCGGGUUGUAAACUUCUUUUAUCAGGGACGAAGCAAGUGACGGUACCUGAUGAAUAAGCCACGGCUAACUACGUGCCAGCAGCCGCGGUAAUACGUAGGUGGCAAGCGUUAUCCGGAUUUACUGGGUGGAAAGAGCGUGUAGGCGGGAAAGCAAGUCAGAUGUGAAAACCAUGGGCUCAACCUGUGGCCUGCAUUUGACACUGUUUUUCUUGAGUACUGGAGAGGCAGACGGAAUUCCUAGUGUAGCGGUGAAAUGCGUAGAUAUUAGGAGGAACACCAGUGGCGAAGGCGGUCUGCUGGACAGCAACUGACGCUGAGGCGCGAAAGCGUGGGGAGCAAACAGGAUUAGAUACCCCAGUAGUC